rnacentral:rRNA from 1 species
GGACCCUACUGCUAUCAGGGUGGNAUUAAGGCAUGCGAGUCGAGCGUCUCCAGCUAUGGUGAGACGCGGCAGACGGCUCAGUAACACGUGGCUAACCUACCCUCAGGACAGGGACAAACCCGGGAAACUGGGGCUAAUACCCGAUAGGCGAGGGCGCCUGGAAUGGUUCUUCACCCAAAGGGCUUUGGAAGCAUGCUUUUCAAAGUCGCCUGUGGAUGGGGCCGCGUCCGAUCAGGUUGUUGGUGAGGUAACGGCUCACCAAGCCUACAACCGGUACGGGCCGUGAGAGCGGUAGCCCGGAGAUGGGCACUGAGACAAGGGCCCAGGCCCUACGGGGCGCAGCAGUCGCGAAAACUCCGCAAUGCACGAAAGUGUGACGGGGCUACCCCGAGUGCCGUCCGCUGAGGAUGGCUUUUCCUCGGUGUAACUAGCCGGGGGAAUAAGGAGAGGGCAAGACUGGUGUCAGCCGCCGCGGUAAUACCAGCUCUCCGAGUGGUAGGGAUGAUUAUUGGGCCUAAAGCGUCCGUAGCCGGCUUAGCAAGUCUCCUGUUAAAUUCAGCGACCUAAUCGUUGAGCCGCGGGAGAUACUACUAGGCUAGGAGGCGGGAGAGGCCGACGGUACUUCCGGGGUAGGGGUGAAAUCCUAUAAUCCCGGGCGGACCACCAGUGGCGAAGGCUGUCGGCUAGAACGCGCUCGACGGUGAGGGACGAAAGCUGGGGGAGCGAACCGGAUUAGAUACCCGGGUAGUCCCAGCCGUAAACGAUGCGGGCUAGGUGUUGGGGUGGCUACGUGCCACUUCAGUGCCGCAGGGAAGCCAUUAAGCCCGCCGCCUGGGGAGUACGGCCGCAAGGCUGAAACUUAA